GUAGGUGGCAAGCGUUGUCCGGAAUUAUUGGGCGUAAAGCGCGCGCAGGCGGUCCUUUAAGUCUGAUGUGAAAGCCCACGGCUCAACCGUGGAGGGUCAUUGGAAACUGGGGGACUUGAGUACAGAAGAGGAAAGCGGAAUUCCAAGUGUAGCGGUGAAAUGCGUAGAGAUUUGGAGGAACACCAGUGGCGAAGGCGGCUUUCUGGUCUGUAACUGACGCUGAGGCGCGAAAGCGUGGGGAGCAAACAGGGAUUAGAUGCCCUGGUAGUCCACGCCGUAAACGAUGAGUGCUAAGUGUUAGGGGGUUUCCGCCCCCUUAGUGCUGCAGCUAACGCAUUAAGCACUCCGCCUGGGGAGUACGGCCGCAAGGCUG
rnacentral:rRNA from 1 species